rnacentral:sRNA from 1 species
UGAUGGUAGCCUGUGGCACAGCCUCGAC